CCUACGGGAGGCAGCAGUGAGGAAUAUUGGUCAAUGGACGAGAGUCUGAACCAGCCAAGUAGCGUGAAGGAUGACUGCCCUAUGGGUUGUAAACUUCUUUUAUAUGGGAAUAAAAUGUUCCACGUGUGGGAUUUUGUAUGUACCAUAUGAAUAAGGAUCGGCUAACUCCGUGCCAGCAGCCUCGGUAAUACGGAGGAUCCGAGCGUUAUCCGGAUUUAUUGGGUUUAAAGGGAGCGUAGGUGGAUUGUUAAGUCAGUUGUGAAAGUUUGCGGCUCAACCGUAAAAUUGCAGUUGAAACUGGCAGUCUUGAGUACAGUAGAGGUGGGCGGAAUUCGUGGUGUAGCGGUGAAAUGCUUAGAUAGCACGAAGAACUCCGAUUGCGAAGGCAGUUCACUGGACUGCAACUGACACUGAGGCUCGAAAGUGUGGGUAUCAAACAGGAUUAGAUACCCGUGUAGUC
rnacentral:rRNA from 1 species